ACGCUCGACACCUACGGGAGGAGCAGUGGGGAAUAUUGCACAAUGGGGGAAACCCUGAUGCAGCGAUGCCGCGUGAAGGAAGAAGUAUCUCGGUAUGUAAACUUCUAUCAGCAGGGAAGAAAAUGACGGUACCUGACUAAGAAGCCCCGGCUAACUACGUGCAGCAGCCGCGGUAAUCUGAGCGGGCUGGCAAGGC
rnacentral:rRNA from 1 species